rnacentral:rRNA from 1 species
UAGGGAAUCUUCGGCAAUGGACGGAAGUCUGACCGAGCAACGCCGCGUGAGUGAAGAAGGUUUUCGGAUCGUAAAGCUCUGUUGUAAGAGAAGAACGAGUGUGAGAGUGGAAAGUUCACACUGUGACGGUAUCUUACCAGAAAGGGACGGCUAACUACGUGCCAGCAGCCGCGGUAAUACGUAGGUCCCGAGCGUUGUCCGGAUUUAUUGGGCGUAAAGCGAGCGCAGGCGGUUAGAUAAGUCUGAAGUUAAAGGCUGUGGCUUAACCAUAGUAGGCUUUGGAAACUGUUUAACUUGAGUGCAAGAGGGGAGAGUGGAAUUCCAUGUGUAGCGGUGAAAUGCGUAGAUAUAUGGAGGAACACCGGUGGCGAAAGCGGCUCUCUGGCUUGUAACUGACGCUGAGGCUCGAAAGCGUGGGGAGCAAACAGGAUUAGAUACCCUGGUAGUCCACGCCGUAAACGAUGUCGACUAGCCGUUGGGAUCCUUGAGAUCUUAGUGGCGCAGCUAACGCGAUAAGUCGACCGCCUGGGGAGUACGGCCGCAAGGUUG